GACGAACGCUGGCGGCGUGCUUAACACAUGCAAGUCGAACGGAAAGGCCCUGCUUUUGUGGUGUGCUCGAGUGGCGAACGGGUGAGUAACACGUGAGUAACCUGCUCUUGACUUUGGGAUAACUUCAGGAAACUGGGGCUAAUACCGUAUAGCAGCCCCUGCACCAUGGUGGGGGUUGGAAAGUUUCGGCGGUUGGGGAUGGACUCGCGGCUUAGCAGCUUGUUGGUUGGCGAGUGGCUUACCAAGGCUUUGACGGGUAGCUGGCCUGUGUGGGUGACCGGCCACCUAGGGACUGAGAUGCGGCAGCAGUUGGUAAGGGAGGCAGAAGUGCGGAAUAUUGAACCAUGGGCGGAGGCCUGAUGAAGAAACGCCGCGUGCGGGAUAACGGCCUUCGGGUUGUAAAAAGGUUUCGCCUGUAAAGAAGCGUGAGUGACGGUAAUGGGUAAAGAAGCAACGGCUAACUACGUG
rnacentral:rRNA from 1 species